AUUAUAUAUAAUAAAAAUUAUAUUUUACACUCUGAGAACUAAUCUUAUACAUUGUUUAAUAACAUUAAGAAAUGGAUAAAAAAAAGUUUAAUAAUUAGAGUAACACUCUAAUCGCGAAAAUGAUAUUGUAGGUACACACACACUUCGAUGUUCAUGCUCAGACAAUUUUCGAUUUUUGCGUCGCGUGAUUUAAUGUUGCUUGCGUUCGGCCGUCGUGUCGUUCGCUUAGCGAUAAACUCCGGGUUAAAACUGCAGUCCCGUUUUUCGUGUUGACUGCAUACAGUAUGCGCUCUCGCGUUGUGGCAUUCGCUGGGCGAUCACAUGAUCGACGACGAUCGCGAGACCGGCGGGUUGCCGGUCGUUCGCUUUCGCGGGCGCGUAGUCCAAGUUCGCGCGCGUUUCAUGACGUUAUGUAACGCGACCUCGCAGACUUGGCAGCCUGUCAAAUUCGCGACGGCGGGGACUCGAGUCAACUUUCUUUCUUCGCAGUUUGUCGAGGUGAUGACAGAGAAAGAAGGAGGGAUACAUAUACGCGUACACACAUACGCACAGUUUCGCGUCACGUCUCACGUUGCGAGUGGAUUCGUGGAAGAUCCAUCGUUCGCGCGUUCCUGCAUACCGCUCGUAAUUUGCAGAAGCAGACGAGUCGCUGCACUUGCGAAAUGAUACCACACGUGCGAGCGUUUAUGUACAUCUGUAUUGCAGCGGAUAACAUUAAAUAUCUAUAUGCAUACGUCUUGGCGGGGUAUGUAAAUAUAAGCGAGAUGCGUAAUUUUUCGAUGAAAUCUUAACAAAAUUUUGUUGUCGGUAAUUUUAACUUUUUUUUUUUUAUUUUCCAGUAAUAAUAUCCAGUGCGAAAGGUGAGACGUACUUAUUUCAAGCGUUUUAUGUCAAUCAAAAAGAUCAAACGUCAGUUAACCGACAGCACCUCCUGAAUUGCCGUGAAAAUCGUAGAUUCAAUUUUCCAACGCUCCUGAAAACACAUGCACUUUCGAGGAAUAUUGAGCGUAAAAGGUUUCGAGAGCGGAAAAUAUUUUUAAUCGAGCGCGUUUAAUUGCACGUGAGAAACUUUUUUGUAGCUCGUUCGCCGAGUUGGUUUGUUCGUUCGGAAAUCGCGCGAUCAAUCACUGACUUCACGCUCGUCGCUUCUGCCCGCGUUCGGCGUUUUCGAUCGGUCGAUCGGGAAUAUCGAUUAAUCGUCGCGUGGACUCGAGCGGCAGACAGCCGCGGACCUCACUGAGGAAUCGACAGUGUGAGAAGCGGAUCCGGGGCUGCGCGGCGCGGCACUACUGUAAACGCGCUCGCGCUCGCGCUCGGUGGCGUCAUACCGAUCCGAAAAUAAAGCCCGCGGGAUCUAUCGGGUAGGAGUGCAGGAAUUCCGGCACGUGGGACGUGUCACGAAUAUCAGCGGAGACUCGCUUGUGUUGUUCUCAUCGCUUGCGCACAGGUCGAUCAAGACGGUGAUGUCAGCCAACAACUGUAGUGAUCGAAGAUGGAUGCACCUCAAGGAUGGAUCAAUGCCCCGCGAGAAAUUUGUUUACGAUCGAUCGUGGGCAGGGUCGACAAACAUAAAUGCAUAUACCUAUCGCGAGUGUAUACAGGAUUUAGACUAUCCUAGCUAUGUCAGUUUUGUACACUCUUCAUGUCUCUAUUUUUUUUUUACACACAUCAAAAUCAGUGACAGCAGCUAUCAUAAAAUUGGACGUCGUAGCAGAAAUCACUCUGAAUAAAAAUUUCUGUGUUCUCUCGUAA